UACAGAGGGUGCGAGCGUUAAUCGGAAUUACUGGGCGUAAAGCGCGCGUAGGCGGCUUUGCAAGUCGGGCGUGAAAUCCCCAGGCUUAACCUGGGAACUGCAUUCGAGACUGCAUUGCUAGAGUAUGGGAGAGGGAAGUGGAAUUUCCGGUGUAGCGGUGAAAUGCGUAGAUAUCGGGAGGAACACCAGUGGCGAAGGCGACUACCUGGCCUGUUCUUGACGCUGAGGCGCGAAAAGCUAGGGGGAGCAAACGGG
rnacentral:rRNA from 1 species